ACUAUGAGACUUGGACUUAGGAAGGAGACGUUAGGUAGGGGAGGAAGAAGGAGAGGUUCGGAAAGGGAGGAGGGGAUGAGCUAGGCCUAGGAGAGGGAGAGGGAGUGAAGGACCCCACAAUGUUUCCCCCUCCCGCCUCCAGAGGACCUGUUCCCGCGGUACCUACGGACGCGGCUCUCGUAGAUGUAGAAGUAGGUGUUGGAGAGUCGGUGCCGUCUACUAACACACGUUCCUUCCUCUCUACGUUUGCUAAACUCAAGGGUCAAACACGUCGGGGACUCCUAACGUAAGUACGUAACCUUCCUCAAGAUAACGACUUACCACCGUUUGGUCCUCCUCCACCGCCGUCUUUCACUGCUACUGCCACCCACACUAGGCGCAGUGUCACCGCCAGGGACCGUCUCGAGUACGGCAAACUCGAGCUGCUGCGCUGCCGACGCCGGAGACACACAGUUAGUGGUGGUGGAACUAUAAUCAUAUCUUUGAGUUAUAAUAACAUAAACAAGAAGCAUACUCACCGGUUGGGAUAUACUUAAGUCCAAACCCCAAGAACGAAGUAUAGGACAAGCUUUGAACCUUAAAAAUAACAGUUCGUAUCCCAAUGAAAGUGCCAGCGGACGUAUAAAAAGACCACCGAAUGUUCCAUUUUGUGUGUAGUACCUUAUGUCCCUCUUGUGUCUAAACAAAACGAGAAACAUGAAGACAAUCUAUCCGGUAUGGCGUCCCUCUUACACCUAGAUGAAACUAGAAGAAUGAAAAUAAUCUAUCCCGUGUAAGACAAAAGUAAUUACAGAAGCAAUGACUGCCAUGACUAUACAUUUAAAUUGUAACUACAAAUUACCACACCGUACUAAAUGUCUUUAACCAUAAAGCUAGGGAACCCUACAACGUCCACGACUGUUGGACUAUGGCAAUCUUAACCGGGAGUUUUACGUUGGUUCUAAUCUCGACGUACGUUCGCUAAACGUCAAACGUCAGGAGUUUUGAUUACACCGGACUUCCUCACGGAUGGAGCCAGAUACGUUCUUGAAAAAAUGAAAUAGAUAAAAUUGGACUUGGACUACUACUAUGUCUCUUUCUUAAUACAGACUCCAUCUGUACAAUCGAAUAUUCAUAUAAGUGGGUGUUAGGUAACCUGACGUGUACUUCUUACAGUAAUUUAUUCUCCACCUUCCAGAUUAGCCGUUCUGAGGAACACUUCUGUUGAGAUAGGUUUGUUAGCCUGUAAAAAAAUCGGCCACGUCUAAGUCAAACAUAUCGAAUCCAAAACCGUGAUAGAAAGACUUUGGAAAACGUGAUAUACUUCAGUUAAGAUACUAAAGAAAGUGUCUACACGGUUCUGCCUGUUCCUGUGGUUCGCCCCUCCCAGUAGCGGGUUGUGUACAGUCAAGAUUCUAGGAAGACCCGUGAUAAAGUUACUUUAAACUAUUUUAAAUGGUAAAGAGAAAUAAAUUUUUUAGAAUGUCAAGUCAAGUUUUUCUUCCCAUAAUAUACCACGUAUUUACUCAACGGGACCAAACACCCGUGGAUUCACUCCUAAGGUUUCUUCACAACACCAUCAUGUCUUUACCGUCACACGGUGGAUUUAAGUAUUAACUACAAGAAGCAUCAAGCAACCUAACUCAUAAUCCAUCACUGAUACGUACAAUACAACUUCAUAACUAAAAAAAUCAUCCUACAGUACACGAGAUUUAUAAUAAAAGUCAUUAUUACGUUCUUACAUCCACGGUUGACAUUUACAGCCCUCUUUUUGAAUGGGAUACCUCUACGUAGAUUCACGGUGUACUCAAAUAUAAAUAUAGUCGGCUCGAUUAAAAUAUUUAACAAAGAAGAAGUACUUAAAUAGUUAAUCAAAAUAAUUAAGUAACCGUAACACCUUUAUUUUGAUUUAAUUAAACAUAGAGUAACCGACGAGAAGGUAUAAACUCCGAGAGGAAAAACGUAAACGUUGUUUCUUCUCUUCUCCACCUCGAUCGUAUGGACGUCUACCCGACCACUGCCACUCCAGCGGGCGUUCAUGUGGGUUGAGACCGACUCCUACAGCCGAGGACGAAGGACACCAAUACUUUAUACAACGAAACACCGAUAACUAAUUUCUUACCUAUCAGUUCAAUCGAUUCAAGAAGGCCCUUUUAAGUAACCUAAAACUUAUCGACUAUAUAUACAGUUAACAGUACAUUGCAUAUGCAGCAUGAAAACCUUAUGAAUGAGAAGGUAAAAACACCUCCACACUACAUCUGUUCAUAAGUCGGUACGUAGUACUUAUAUUAAUUACUUCAAAGAUAGGGAAAGCCAACAUGUUAGUAGGUAGACCGAGUAUACAUAUCUCAACAGCGGAAUGGCUCAAUCGAAAUAAUAUAUUACGGACGAGAAACGAUUUAUAAGAUAACGUUCAUAGUUCCUUUUAA
rnacentral:rRNA from 1 species